rnacentral:lncRNA from 1 species
AAAUAUUACAUCCGCCUAAAAUAUCACAUCCCCCAUAGAAAAAACGAAAACGAGAUUGCGCUUUCAAGUCAUUGCACUUAGAAGUGUAUCAAAUACGUCCGAAACAUUCAAUUAUAAAAAAUAUAAUUAAAACGCAACGAGAUUCAAAAACGUUUUUCUACUAAUAUACUAUAAAUGAAGUUAGCAUAAAAUGAUACGAUUGAGCUAACAAUUUAAACAUGCGACAUUUUUCAACGAAGUCAUAUAUAAAACUUUGGUGGAACUAAAGUUUUCAUAAGAUUUAAAAUGAACGAAAUUAAUUACAAUAAUUUUUUAUUCUAAAUGUUUUCAUAUCUUACAACAUAAAUAUUUUACUAGUUUUAAUGUACAAAACGUUUUGAAGGAAAAUAAAUAUAUAUUA